rnacentral:tRNA from 1 species
AGUUAAUGAACUUGAUACAAGUAUAUAUUUUGAAAAUAUAAAAUAGGAAUAACCUAUUAACUU